rnacentral:rRNA from 1 species
GUGCUCGUGACCCGGUCCUCGGGCCGGGUGUUCACAACCCUUUGUUGUCCGACUCUGUUGCCUCCGGGGCGACCCUGCCUCCGGGCGGGGGCCCCGGGUGGACAUUUCAAACUCUUGCGUAACUUUGCAGUCUGAGUAAAUUUAAUUAAUAAAUUAAAACUUUCAACAACGGAUCUCUUGGUUCUGGCAUCGAUGAAGAACGCAGCGAAAUGCGAUAAGUAAUGUGAAUUGCAGAAUUCAGUGAAUCAUCGAAUCUUUGAACGCACAUUGCGCCCCCUGGUAUUCCGGGGGGCAUGCCUGUUCGAGCGUCAUUUCACCACUCAAGCCUCGCUUGGUAUUGGGCGACGCGGUCCGCCGCGCGCCUCAAAUCGACCGGCUGGGUCUUUCGUCCCCUCAGCGUUGUGGAAACUAUUCGCUAAAGGGUGCCGCGGGAGGCCACGCCGUAAAACAACCCCAUUUCUAAGGUUGACCUCGGAUCAGGUAGGGAUACCCGCUGAACUUAAGCAUACAA